AAGUACAAAAAGAUGGAGAUCAUACACUGCAUAUUUUCAGACUAAAACGCUAUGAAACUCGAAAUCAACCACAAGAAAAAAUUUGGAAACACCAUGAAUACUUCAAGAUUAAAGAACACCAUAGUGAAGAAUGAAUGGUUUAACCAAGAAAUUAAACAGGAAAUUAAAAAGUCCAAGAAA